CCAACGGCCCUCUUUAGGGCCACAUUCACUACUGUUGAAGUGCGUU
rfam:Angiostrongylus cantonensis strain Taiwan genome assembly, scaffold: ACAC_contig0003187